rnacentral:rRNA from 1 species
AACGAACGCUGGCGGCGUGCUUAACACAUGCAAGUCGAACGCGAAAGGGACUUCGGUCCUGAGUAAAGUGGCGCACGGGUGAGUAAUGCGUAGAUAACCUGUCUUCAUGUCUGGAAUAAUACGCCGAAAGGGGUACUAAUACCGGAUAUUCUUGCUUUUUCAUAAGUUAUGCAAGCAAAGGUGGCCUCUGCAUAUGCUACUGCAUGAAGAGGGGUCUGCGUACCAUUAGCUAGUAGGUGGGGUAAUGGCCUACCUAGGCGACGAUGGUUAGCGGGUCUGAGAGGAUGAUCCGCCACACUGGCACUGGAACACGGGCCAGACUCCUACGGGAGGCAGCAGUGAGGAAUAUUGCGCAAUGGGGGAAACCCUGACGCAGCGACGCCGCGUGAAGUGAGGAAGGCCUUCGGGUCGUAAAGCUCUGUCAAGAGGAAAGAAGUGUACAAUGGCUAAUACCUGUUGUAUUUGACGGUACCUCUAAAGGAAGCACCGGCUAACUCCGUGCCAGCCGCGGC